GGCGUCACGCGCUCCAUGGUAACGACGCCGGGCCGAAGAUGGCGGCCGGGUGGGGUGGCGGGACGGGUUACCCGGGUGUAGGCCCAGGCUUGGGCUGGUGGCGCUGGACCGGGUCCUUGUGGGUCCGGGGCGUCUUCCUGCUCUUGGGCGGGUUCCCGGCCAGCGCUGCGUCCGUUCCCGUCGCCCUGAGCAGUGCGCCUCCCUGCCGGCACCACGUUCCGUCCGACUCUGAGGUCAUAAAUAAAGUUCAUCUUAAAGCAAAUCAUGUUGUAAAAAGAGAUGCUGAUGAGCAUUUAAGAAUCAAGACUGUGUAUGAUAAAAGCAUUGAGGAGUUGCUCCCGGAGAAAAGAAAUCUUGUAAAGAACAAACUUUUCCCACAAGCUAUUUCUUAUUUAGAGAAGACAUUUCAAGUUCGUAGACCUGCUGGCACUAUCUUACUUAGCAGACAAUGUGCAACAAAUCAGUAUCUUCGGAAAGAAAAUGACCCUCAUAGAUACUGUACUGGAGAAUGCGCAGUGCACACAAAAUGCGGCCCAGUUAUCGUGCCCGAGGAGCACCUCCAGCAAUGCAGGGUCUGCCGAGGAGGGAAAUGGCCCUGUGGGGCAGUAGGUGUGCGGGACCAAGAGGGUGUCCGGGAUGCAGACUUCGUUCUCUAUGUUGGUGCUCUGGCCACUGAGAGAUGCAGCCAUGAAAACAUCAUCUCUUAUGCAGCCUAUUGUCAACAAGAAGCAAAAAUGGACAGGUAUAAAACCCUUUGGGGACUUCCUUCAGAAUAUAACAGCCAGGACUGUCUUUUGUCCACCAUCACAGUGUUCACUGUAGUGGCUUCUGAUAGCAGCAAGCCAAUAGCAGGAUAUGCUAACCUGUGUCCAAAUAUGAUCUCUACCCAGCCUCAGGAGUUUGUUGGGAUGCUGUCUACCGUGAAACACGAGAUUAUUCAUGCUCUGGGUUUCUCUGCUGGACUCUUUGCAUUCUACCAUGAUCAAAAUGGAAACCCUCUAACAUCAAGGUUUGCAGAUGGUCUCCCCCCUUUUAACUACAGUCUUGGAUUAUAUCAAUGGAGUGAUAAAGUAGUUCGAAAAGUGGAGAGAUUAUGGAAUGUUCGAGAUAAUAAAGUUGUUCACCACACUGUGUAUCUCCUAGUAACACCUCGUGUUGUUGAUGAAGCACGAAAACAUUUUAAUUGUCCAGUUCUAGAAGGAAUGGAACUUGAAAAUCAAGGUGGUAUGGGUACAGAACUCAACCACUGGGAGAAGCGGUUGUUAGAGAAUGAAGCCAUGACCGGUUCUCAUACCCAGAACCGAGUCCUCUCUCGAAUCACACUGGCGCUAAUGGAAGACACUGGCUGGUACAAAGCGAAUUACAGCAUGGCUGAGAAGUUAGACUGGGGCCGAGGAAUGGGCUGUGACUUUGUCAGGAAGAGCUGUAAGUUCUGGAUUGAUCAGCAGAGACAAAAGAGGCAGAUGCUCAGCCCUUACUGUGACACACUCAGAAGUAACCCACUGCAGUUAACCUGCAGACAGGACCAGAGAGCAGUGGCUGUGUGUAAUCUACAGAAGUUCCCGAAACCAUUACCACCAGACUACCAGUAUUUUGAUGAACUCAGUGGAAUACCUACAGAAGAUUUGCCUUACUAUGGUGGGUCAGUAGAAAUUGCUGACUAUUGCCCUUUCAGCCAGGAAUUUAGUUGGCAUUUUAGUGGUGAAUACCAGCGCAGCUCCGACUGUAGAAUACUGGAAAAUCAACCAGAAAUUUUGAAAAACUAUGGUGCUGAGAAGUAUGGACCUCAUUCAGUUUGUCUAAUUCAGAAAUCAGCAUUUGUCAUGGAAAGGUGUGAGAGAAAGCUGAGCUACCCAGACUGGGGGAGUGGAUGCUACCAGGUUUCUUGUUCUCCUCAAGGUCUGAAGGUUUGGGUCCAAGAUACUUCAUAUUUAUGUAGCCGGGCGGGACAGGUCCUCCCAGUCCGUAUUCAGAUGAAUGGCUGGAUUCAUGAUGGGAACCUGCUCUGCCCGUCAUGCUGGGACUUCUGUGAGCAUUGUCCACCAGAAACAGACCCUCCGGCUGCCAACCUCACCCGGGCUCUUCCACUGGAUCUCUGUUCCCGUUCUUCUAGCCUGGUGGCCACCCUCUGGCUUCUUCUAGGCAAUCUAUUUCCCCUGCUGGCUGGAUUUCUCCUGUGUGUGUGGCAUUAGGAAUGGGAAAGUGAAUUCUCAAGAUGUUCGUUAUGUCAUGCUCCUGUGAAUAGAACACGAAAUCUUAGCAAAUGCCUCUCUGCAGAUGGCACAAGUGGCAUUCCUGACUUUAGCUUGGAAUUGUUGACCACAGUCAGAUCCUGAAGCAAAGCUUCAGUCCUCGUCAACCACACAGCCACCCAAGUCAGGAGAGGAGGAGGAUUGCAAGUCACCAAGUCUUGGGGCUUAGCAUACAUAAUCUCCUGAAGUUUUCCUUUGAAGAUGGGAUCAUCGGAAUUCUCAGAGUGAUUGCAUACCUCAGCAUUUUCAUUAACCUAAGGAAUGGGAAAGUUCAUCUUCCCAUACUGUAGUAACUUCACAACAGCUAAUUUUUGAAAGCUGUGGAUACUGCUCUCAAAGUGUUAGAUGGCCUUUGAUUUACAGGAAAUAAGUGAAUUGAGAUUUCUGCAUCACUAUUACAUCUACAUAAUUUAAUGGCUGUAUGUGGUGCACUCAAAUCAUUGGUCUUAGUUGCUUAUUCUAAAGAGUUUUAAAUUAGAUCUCCCUAAAUAUUAUGAUUUAACCACACUUCCUUUUUUUUUUGCCAGCUGUGCAGCAGAUUACCACAGUGUUGACAGUGUUAGCCCACAGCACAGACUGAUCUCCAUUAGAGAUCAGCUUCUAUCAGCAUUCCAUUAGCUUAAAAAAUGGAAGCAGAGAGAGUAAAACACACUGAUUUUUAAAAACACUGACAUCAUCAAACAGAAAAGAAGAUGAUUAUAUGUUUUUUUUUCAGAUAAUAAUUAUGACAACUGAAAUCCAGCAAAAGAAGAACUAAUCAGUAUGGAUCAAAAGAGAUUCUGAUGUUGAUAGAUAUUUGUCAUUGUGGAAAGCUGAAGGCCUAGACCUAGUCAACUUUGGCUGGAGAGAUCUCCGUGAUGGUUCGCAGACCAGUGCUCAGUGUUCUGCCUAUGUUUGUGCAUUCUUCAAAAUUGUGCAAGAAUCGCAGGGUCACUGCUGGCUCUGGUCACCUUCCUGGAGUGCAGCAGCCUGCGUGUUGUGUUCACCAUGGCAUCUUGUGCUUGAUGCCUUACCUGCACACGUCUUCGGAAAAAUGAGGGACAGAGAAGAGUUGUCCCUGAGUGCAGCUGAGUGAUCCAGACAGGAGAUGGACUUCAGGCCCAGUCCCACCCACCUCACAGUGGGUACUGGCCAUUCCUGCCAUGACCUCACAGCCCAGGAAGACUGUGAUAUAGUAUGAUAAAGAACAUGUUUCUCAUUCUGAAGAAAAACUUACCUGAAAGGAAGAUCUAAAAAUAUAUGCAUAUAUGUACAUAUUGGGUCAGUGUUGGGGAGGGAGUGGUGAAUUAUUUUAUGUUUACAUUUUUAAUAAGUAAAAUGGAAAAUUUAAGAGUUAUUCUUUAUUUAUAGUAUGGAAUUUUAAGUGUAAUAUAUUCCUUAGAAAAACACAACUUUAAUAAAAAGUAAUUUACAUCUUUA